UACGGGAGGCAGCUAGUGGGGGAAUAUUGCACAAUGGGCGCAAGCCUGAUGCAGCCAUGCCGCGUGUAUGAAGAAGGCCUUCGGGUUGUAAAGUACUUUCAGCAGUGAGGAAGGUGGGUAUCGUUAAUAGCAUAUUCAUUUGACGUUAGCUGCAGAAGAAGCACCGGCUAACUCCGUGCCAGCAGCCGCGGUAAUACGGAGGGUGCGAGCGUUAAUCGGAAUUACUGGGCGUAAAGCGCAUGCAGGUGGUUUGUUAAGUCAGAUGUGAAAAGCCCGGGGCUCAACCUCGGAAUUGCAUUUGAAAACUGGCAAACUAGAGUACUGUAGAGGGGGGUAGAAUUUCAGGUGUAGCGGUGAAAUGCGUAGAGAUCUGAAGGAAUACCGGUGGCGAAGGCGGCCCCCUGGACAGAUACUGACACUCAGAUGCGAAAGCGUGGGGACGCAAACAGGAUUAGACUACCCUGGUAG
rnacentral:rRNA from 1 species